UUACGGUCAAAUCACGCUGAAAACGCCGGUUCUCGUUUGAUCGCCGAAGUUAAGCAUCGGAGAGCCAGGUCAGUACUUAGAUGGGGGACCGCUUGGUACACCUGGUACUGUAAG
rnacentral:rRNA from 1 species